rnacentral:lncRNA from 1 species
AUGUCUAUAAGUUCAUGGCAAGCAUCAUCGUCUUCUAAAUCUUCUUGUUCAUCCUUCAGAUUCCUGGAAGUUGUACUUCAGCUCCUGGGGAGACAGUUGUCAUCUUGGGAAGCAAAGACGGCUGUGAUGCAGUUUGUUGAUAUGAGGAAAACAGGAAGCGUCAGGACAAGCAUGCCCAUGAGAACUCUAAACUGUUCAGGUCACUUUACAUUGGUGAAACUGACAAUUGAAACUGCUAUAGUUGAUGGGCGAAAUUUCUUCUAGACUUUUCAUCAUCCCAGUUUCAUCCUAGUUGAAAAUAUUUCAAUGCCAUAAGAAAUCUGUAGAUUUGCACUUAGCUGCAGAUGGACAUUUCUUUGAUAGUUUCUGUGAUGGAGAGAACUGUGUUAUAGCCUGGUCCAAGGACAUUCCCAUCUAAUGCGCAUCAACCACAGUGUGGGUGAGGAAGGUUCCAAAGAGAAGGAACAACCGUCAAGUUUGCAGACACCCUGAAACAUGGAAGCAAUGAAGCUUUAAAAGCACAGCCUUGGAGAUACUCCAUGAGUCUACUCUGCUUUCAGGCGAACUAGCAC